ACAGGUUAGUUUUACCCUACUGAUUGAGGGUUAUCGUAACAGUAAUUCAACUUAGUACGAGAGGAACUGUUGAUUCGUGUAAUUGGUCUUGGCCGUUGUCCAACAGGGCAGUGCGGCGAAGCUACCACACGCUAGAUAAUGGCUGAACGCCUCUAAGCCAGAAUCUGUGCUGGAAGCGAUGAUGUUGGUCCCGCUGAUAUGAAAUGAGUAGAAAUAAGGCAUCUCUGAUGCUUGUGUACCAUAGCUGGCGAGGGAGGGGCAGUGGACGGAAAGGUCUGCUGUCUACCUCGUGAAUUGCAAUACCAAUAUGAGCGGGGAAAAAUCUCUUGCAGACGACUUGAAUGGGAAGGGGGUGCUGUAAGCAGUAGA
rnacentral:rRNA from 16 species